ACGCUCGACACCUACGGAGGCAGCAGUGGGGAAUAUUGGGCAAUGGGCGAAAGCCUGACCCAGCAACGCCGCGUGAGGGAAGAAGGUUUUCGGAUUGUAAACCUCUGUCCUCAGGGACGAAGGACGUGACGGUACCUGAGGAGGAAGCCCCGGCUAACUACGUGCCAACAGCCGCGGUAAUCUGAGCGGGCUGGCAAGGC
rnacentral:rRNA from 1 species